rnacentral:rRNA from 1 species
UACGUAGGGGGCGAGCGUUAUCCGGAUUUAUUGGGCGUAAAGCGUGUGUAGGCGGUUUGUUAAGUCUGAGAUUAAAGCCCGAGGCUCAACCUCGGUUCGUUUCAGAAACUGGCAGACUUGAGUGUGGUAGAGGCAAGUGGAAUUUCUAGUGUAGCGGUUAAAUGCGUAGAUAUUAGAAGGAACACCAGUGGCGAAGGCGGCUUGCUGGGCCAUUACUGACGCUGAGACACGAAAGCAUGGGUAGCGAACAG